AUGCGGGAGGUGGCCAUGGAGUUUGUUUCUGGGUCCAAUGGCGUCCCUUGAGGUCUCGACCGUGCCCCUAGAUCCAGAAGCUAAAGCACGUGGAUGAUCAUAGAGGAAGGGAAAGAGGGAUGCCAUUUCGAGGCUUAUACUCAGCAACUUUAGGACAUCAGGUUGAAGCUGGCUCAGAUGGAUCAGGGUCUCCAGCGUGCUCGCUCCUUGGUGUCUUUUAUAAUCUUUUGUGCCCUAACUAACUAAUGAUAAUAUUUGGACCAUUGCAACGUAGCUGAGCUUUUAGUUGGAUUUGUUCAGUAACUUGCCUGGAGGAGCACCAGGUGGAAACAUCAGCACAUGUGUACUUCAUAAGCCUAAUUCACCCAACUCUAUGCAAGCGGCGCGCCAAGGUGCAUCCCAGGCUCUAUACUGUUAGAAGGUCAGUUGCCCUGGUAAAAU